AUAUACGUGGCCGGGAGAAAAAUCGUCGAGCCUCUGGGACCAGGGUAUAAAAAUCGUUAUUUWAAAAAAAAAUUGUAUUUUCUCUAAAAAGGUGGAGGGAAACGAUGAAACAUGAAAAAGAAAGAAUGCUGAAAGAAAGGAAAGGAAAUGCAAGGAAGUAAAGGAAAGCAGAAGGGAAAUAAAUUGGAGUUUAAUGCCAAUGACUCAAAGAAUCGCCAACGAGGGAGACUAUGCUAGCAGGGAAGUAAUACGAUUUCUUUCCAAUUCAAAACGUUUUGUCUCAGUUGUCUCUGAGUAAAAACAUAUUCAAUAUACAAGUGUUUCUUUCUCUUUUUCUUUUUACUGAUAAAUUAUGCUUYUGUGAAUUUAUAAAGUAUUCCUUUUUUUCUUCCUGUGGCUUUUAUUCAAGAUGAUACGUUGUUUUGGUCUGGUCAAAGUUUGGCCGCAGACGUCUUGAUUUGGUGAUAUGCGACGUGGUCCUAAAGAAAAACAUCUUGAAUCAAUAUAUGAUAUUUCAAAAUUAAAAUGAUUCAAUAGACUGAUAGAGAGAGUUAUCAAGACAAAAAAAUGCAUGUUAAAGAAUUUUGAAUAAAUACCCAUCAAUGUAGAAUUCUAACAUAUUAUUCUACUGUAGACCCUAAAGGUUGAAUUUUUGAAAAGGGGCCAAACCAUGGUCAUAACAUGUUCAAAACAUGGUACAAUGUAUCACGUA